GCUUCCAUGUGUUUAAAAUGGAGGCUGAUGUUGCUCAAGUUGUGGGGCUGUGAUAAGGGUUAAGAAUAACAAUAAACAUCUAUUGAGUAUUUUCCAUACCCUCAGCCCAGUUCUAAACCCUCAUGUGCACUGAUUUAUUGAAUUCUCACAACAACCCUGUGUGGAAGAGUCCUCAGUCACUCAGUCAUGUCUGACUCUCUGCAGCCCCAUGGACUACAGCCUGCCAAACGCCUCUGUCCAUGGGAUUUCCCAGGCAAGAAUACUGGAGUGGGUUAACAUUUCCUCCUCAAGGGAUCUUCCCAACACAGGGAUGGAACCCUCAUCUCUUGAGUCUCCUGCAUUGGCAGAUGAGGAAACAAUGGGAGAGAAAUACCCAAGGUCACACAGCAAAUAGCAGAGCCAGGCUGUUUGACAACAAAGCCAAGUCCUUAAUCUCCACAUUAUACUCACUAUGCAAAUUAUGUUAAAUACCUAUAAUAGGUAACCAGUAGCUGUUACUAGGAACCGGGGUGGGUAGGGCCUGAUUUAUAAGCAAAGUGAAGAGUUAAGUACCUGAACUAAUUAGGUAAACCAAAGGCUGGGCCACUCAGAAGUAUCUUCAGUUCCAUUUGCCAUGGUUUCUCAUUUCUCACUGUCAGUGUCGUUCCUUCAGAGCAGGAAGACACUUCAGGGACAUUUGGCAAUGUCUGGACACAUUUUUGCUUGUCACAACUGUGGGAGUGCUGCUGCUGCUGCUGCUAAGUUGCUUCAGUCGUGUCCGACUCUGUGCGACCCCAUAGACAGCAGCCCACCAGGCUCCCCCAUCCCUGGGAUUCUCCAGGCAAGAACACUGGAGUGGGUUGCCAUUUCCUUCUCCAAUGCAGGAAAGUGAAAAGUGAAAGUGAAGUCGCUACUGGCAUCUAAUGGAACUUUGAUCGGAAGAAGAACCUUCAUGUGUGAAGUACCUGUGAUACUCGGCAGCACAUCCAGCUUUCUUGCGUUGUUGGAGAACACUAUGCCUCACAUCACUAUGACUCGAUUUCCAUCUUAUUGUGCAUUAGCUUCAAAUAUUCAAUAAAUAAUCUGGAAAGGAGUUGUAUCAAUCACUUUAGGCUAGGUUAUGAUGCAAUAACAAAUGAUCCCAGUAG
ensembl:lncRNA